GAUGAACGCUGGCGGCGUGCCUAAUACAUGCAAGUCGAGCGAACGGACGAGAAGCUUGCUUCUCUGAUGUUAGCGGCGGACGGGUGAGUAACACGUGUAUAACCUACCUAUAAGACUGGGAUAACUUCGGGAAACCGGAGCUAAUACCGGAUGAUAUUUUGAACCGCAUGGUUCAAAAGUGAAAGACGGUCUUGCUGUCACUUAUAGAUGGAUCCGCGCUGCAUUAGCUAGUUGGUAAGGUAACGGCUUACCAAGGCAACGAUGCAUAGCCGACCUGAGAGGGUGAUCGGCCACACUGGAACUGAGACACGGUCCAGACUCCUACGGGAGGCAGCAGUAGGGAAUCUUCCGCAAUGGGCGAAAGCCUGACGGAGCAACGCCGAGUGAGUGAUGAAGGUCUUCGGAUCGUAAAACUCUGUUAUUAGGGAAGAACAUAUGUGUAAGUAACUGUGCACAUCUUGACGGUACCUAAUCAGAAAGCCACGGCUAACUACGUG
rnacentral:rRNA from 1 species